rnacentral:rRNA from 1 species
GCCUGCAACCAUACCACCUUGAACAUUCCUGAUCAUAUCUAAUCUCAAAAGCUAAGCACAGUUCAGCCUGGUUAGUACUUGGAUGGGAGAUUUGUAGGAAAGAAGCAGGUUGAUAGGGGUC